rnacentral:rRNA from 1 species
GACGAACGCUGGCGGCGUGCUUAACACAUGCAAGUCGAACGGAAAGACCCUGCUUUUGUGGGGUGCUCGAGUGGCGAACGGGUGAGUAACACGUGAGUAACCUGCCCUUGACUUUGGGAUAACUUCAGGAAACUGGGGCUAAUACCGGAUAGGAGCUCCUGCUGCAUGGUGGGGGUUGGAAAGUUUCGGCGGUUGGGGAUGGACUCGCGGCUUAUCAGCUUGUUGGUGGGGUAGUGGCUUACCAAGGCUUUGACGGGUAGCCGGCCUGAGAGGGUGACCGGCCACAUUGGGACUGAGAUACGGCCCAGACUCCUACGGGAGGCAGCAGUGGGGAAUACUGCACAAUGGGCGGAAGCCUGAUGAAGCAACGCCGCGUGCGGGAUGACGGCCUUCGGGUUGUAAACCGCUUUCGCCUGUGACGAAGCGUGAGUGACGGUAAUGGGUAAAGAAGCACCGGCUAACUACGUG